CCUACGGGAGGCAGCAGUAAGGAAUAUUGGUCAAUGGGCGCAAGCCUGAACCAGCCAUGCCGCGUGCAGGAUGACGGCCCUCUGGGUUGUAAACUGCUUUUAUACGGGAAGAACAGCAUCUACGUGUAGGUGUUUGACGGUACUGUAAGAAUAAGGACCGGCUAACUUCGUGCCAGCAGCCGCGGUAAUACGAAGGGUCCAAGCGUUAUCCGGAUUUAUUGGGUUUAAAGGGUGCGUAGGCGGCUUUUUAAGUCAGUGGUGAAAGCCUGAUGCUCAACAUCAGAACUGCCAUUGAUACUGAAGAGCUUGAGUACAGUUGAGGUUGGCGGAAUGUGUCAUGUAGCGGUGAAAUGCUUAGAUAUGACACAGAACACCGAUUGCGAAGGCAGCUAGCUAAGCUGUUACUGACGCUGAUGCACGAAAGCGUGGGGAGCAAACAGGAUUAGAUACCCUGGUAGUCCACGCCCUAAACGUUGAUAACUCGUUGUUAGCGAUAUACUGUUAGCGACCAAGCGAAAGCAUUAAGUUAUCCACCUGGGAAGUACGGUCGCAAAGUNUUAGAAACCUNAAAUGAGUAGUAGGACGUGAGACGNGCGACGGACGACGACGAGGGGAGGAGG
rnacentral:rRNA from 1 species